CAACGGAAUUCGAAGAUAACAAACCCGUGCCAAAUUGCGCUCGUUUGCGAAAUCCUGCUGCACUAUAUUAUAAUAUGUUACGCGUUCGAAAUGAGUAUUUAGGUGACUGCUGCAGUAUAAUACACUCGUAUAUGCUAUGCCUGUUUAAAUACGAAUUCUCCUUCUCCUGCUCCUGCUCUGCCACCGUCUCCUCCAGAGACGUAACAGAAGACGCGAUAAAAUUCCU